rfam:Mesocricetus auratus contig144684, whole genome shotgun sequence.
GGAGAGAUGGCUCAGGGGUUAAGAGCACUGGAUGUUCUUCCAGAGGACCUGAGUUCAAUUCCCAGCACCA